UGGGGAAUAUUGGGCAAUGGGCGAAAGCCUGACCCAGCAACGCCGCGUGAAGGAAGAAGUAUUUCGGUAUGUAAACUUCUAUCAGCAGGGAAGAUAAUGACGGUACCUGACUAAGAAGCUCCGGCUAAAUACGUGCCAGCAGCCGCGGUAAUACGUAUGGAGCAAGCGUUAUCCGGAUUUACUGGGUGUAAAGGGUGCGCAGGUGGCGUGGUAAGUCAGAAGUGAAAACCCGGGGCUCAACCCCGUGGAUUGCUUUUGAAACUAUCAUGCUGGAGUCCGGGAGAGGUAAGCGGAAUUCCUAGUGUAGCGGUGAAAUGCGUAGAUAUUAGGAGGAACACCAGUGGCGAAGGCGGCUUACUGGACCGGUACUGACACUGAGGCACGAAAGCGUGGGGAGCAAACAGGAUUA
rnacentral:rRNA from 1 species